GCGGAGAGGCGCCUUCAUCACCGAUUCUGUUCGAGCAGCUACCUCCGAUGCGCGGAGCCACCGCGUCAUUGAUUGCUUUGCUUGCGCAUUGGCGCGAAGCAAUAUCAUGGUCGUCCCUUUUGUGGGUCCAGAAAAACCGACGUUCUGAUUGCUCAAUACAUUGAAGUUUUGGUGAUUAGUUAUUGCAUUUCUGCGCGUUUCCUGCGAUUUUGCUUCGUUAUGAAACGCCUCGGCUGGCUAGGGCUGUGCCGGCGGCAAUUACUUUCAUCUGUAGGCGUAGAGUCGUCCAUUGAUCCACGACUCCCGCUCGGAAAAGUUUCAUCGUUACGUCAGCUUUUUUCAUGUACCCGAGCGUUGCAAGCAUUUCCUUCUGCCGUCGGGAAAUCUACUGAUUUUGCCACAGCAUUACCAGCGAGUAGAUGUUUCAUACACGCCACAGGCUCAUGUCACUCUAUCGAACGAGAUUACUAUGAAAUUCUGGGGGUUCAACACAAUGCCAGUCGAGAAGAGAUUAAAAAGGCAUACCAUGCGUUGGCGAAAAAGUAUCAUCCGGAUGCAAAUAAGAACAAUCCUUCUGCCAAGAGGAAAUUUCAGGAGAUAAGAGAAGCCUAUGAGACUCUGCAGGAUUCUGAGAAGAGAUCCCAAUAUGACCAGAGACGUGGUGGAGAAUUUGAAAAUGUAGGGUUUGGUGCUGGUGGCACAGAGGGGUUUAGCUAUACUUAUCGAACCCAUUUUUCUGACUCAUUUCAAAAGAUUUUCUCUGAGAUCUUUGAACAUGAGACCAGCCGUUUUGCCUCAGAUAUUCAGGUUGACCUGUCAUUAUCUUUUACGGAAGCUGCAAAAGGAUGCACAAAGCAUUUGUCCUUUGAUGCUUUUGUUCCCUGUGAUUCUUGCUAUGGGCGUGGCUAUCCAGUAAAUGCAACAAAAAGAAGUUGCCCCACUUGCAGAGGUUUAGGUAGAGUUACUAUACCUCCGUUUACAUCAACGUGCACCACUUGCAAAGGAUCGGGUCAAAUCAUUAAGGAAUUGUGUGUGCAAUGCAGGGGAAUGGGGGUUGUAGAGGGUGUCAAGGAGGUUACAGUUACUAUACCUGCUGGGGUUGAUUCUGGAGAUACCAUUCGUGUGCCCGAAGCUGGUAAUAGUGGUGGACGAGAAAGUCAUCCUGGCAACUUGAUCAUUAAAUUGAAGGUUGCUGAAGAUCGUAUCUUUAAGAGGGAUGGUGUGGAUAUUUAUGUGGAUUCUAAUAUCUGCUUCACUCAAGCUAUUCUUGGGGGCAAGGUUGAGGUUCCAACAUUGUCAGGCAGGAUACAAAUAAAUAUACCAAAAGGCGUUCAGCCAGGACAUCUCCUAAUACUGAGAGGGAAAGGAUUGCCAAAACAUGGACUUUUUGUUGAUCGUGGAGAUCAAUAUGUGCGAUUCCGUAUUAAAUUUCCCACUGAAAUAAGUGAACGCCAACGUGCCAUUUUAGAAGAAUUUGCUGAAGAAGAAAUAAAGAAUGGGAUUGACGACUCAAAUAAAGCAAGUUGGUGGCAACGAAUUCUUAACCGUGUCGGGGAACCUAUGUUUGUUCUUGAAUUGUCCCUAUUAAUCUUGUUCAUUGUGCUCCUUACGUCAAGGGGCUGAACGAGGUCCAGAGGUUUCAGUGGGAGAUAUUUUGGCAAGUAACUAUUGAAGUGGGGAGGCAAUCUAUUCAUUCAAUAAAUUAAUGUAGAUAGAUACAAGGUCAAUUUUUCAGUACCUGAGUUGCAGUUUCAAAUUCGUAAAGAUUACUCGAGUUAACUUACACUUGUUCAGAAAAAUUUACAUAGAUACUACAAUGAGUAGUUGGAAGAUCUUUGAAUCUCUUCUCUGGAAGGAAGUUCUUUCUUUUCUUCGUUCCUCCACAAGCUUUCCUGUAGGUUUGAUCCUUUAUUUUUGACAACCACUCGCCACAGUUGAGCAAUGUAGCCAUUUUGAGAUUCUCAGCGGCUCAGGCUUUUGCUAUGAAUUUUUAAAAUUGACCCACAUUAUUUUGUACUGAUGAUGCACUAUUGAAUAUUACGUCUAUGAUGAUUAGUCUAAUCUUUCCUUCUGCA